rnacentral:rRNA from 1 species
AGCUUGCUCUUAUGAAGUUAGCGGCGGACGGGUGAGUAACACGUGGGUAACCUGCCCAUAAGACUGGGAUAACUCCGGGAAACCGGGGCUAAUACCGGAUAACAUUUUGCACCGCAUGGUGCGAAAUUGAAAGGCGGCUUCGGCUGUCACUUAUGGAUGGACCCGCGUCGCAUUAGCUAGUUGGUGAGGUAACGGCUCACCAAGGCAACGAUGCGUAGCCGACCUGAGAGGGUGAUCGGCCACACUGGGACUGAGACACGGCCCAGACUCCUACGGGAGGCAGCAGUAGGGAAUCUUCCGCAAUGGACGAAAGUCUGACGGAGCAACGCCGCGUGAGUGAUGAAGGCUUUCGGGUCGUAAAACUCUGUUGUUAGGGAAGAACAAGUGCUAGUUGAAUAAGCUGGCACCUUGACGGUACCUAACCAGAAAGCCACGGCUAACUACGUGCCAGCAGCCGCGGUAAUACGUAGGUGGCAAGCGUUAUCCGGAAUUAUUGGGCGUAAAGCGCGCGCAGGUGGUUUCUUAAGUCUGAUGUGAAAGCCCACGGCUCACCCGUGGAGGGUCAUUGGAAACUGGGAGACUUGA